GGUAAGGAAUCUGCCUGCAAUUCAGAAGACCUGGGUUCGAUCCCUGGGGCUUAUGGGAUCUCAGUUCCCUGACCAGAAAUCAAACCUGGGCCCACAGCAGUGAGUGCCAAGAUUUAACCACUAGGCCACCAGGGAAUUCCCGUCAGCCUAUUUGUUAUCCAUCCCAAAAAACAGCAGGUUACUAGGUGGCCAGAGAGGCUAUAUAGGUUUUUCAAGCUGCAUCGUUAGGGGAAAUGGGAACACCUGGACCUCUGGCUCCACCUCAACAGAUCUUCAGGUGCGGCCUGGGAACUCUUAGUUGCGGCCUGUGGGAUCAAGUUCCCUGAUCAACGAUGGAACCAGAGUUCCCUGCACUAGGCUUGCAGUUUCAGCCACUGGACCACCAGGGAGGUCCCAAGACCCGAAUUCCCUACCUUGGCAUCCAAAGCCAUUUGCAACUUGAAUUAAACUGAUUUUCUUCCGCCUCUUGUCACUUUCAACUCUCCAACACUAUUGCCCCAAAAUGCCUUUCCUUUCCUUCACACCUUCAUCAUGCCCUUCCCUCUUCUAUCUUCAAGGCUGAGCUAAAAUGUCACCUCUUCAGUGAAGCCUACCCAUUUCCCCAAUGGUUUCUUCCUUCACGUUCCAUUAUACUUAUCAC
ensembl:lncRNA